rnacentral:misc_RNA from 1 species
UCUCCGUUGGUGAACCAGCGGAGGAUCAUUACAGAGUGCAAACUCAUAACCCUUUGUGAACCUAUAACUGUUGCUUCGGCGGCACGCAAUCGGGCGAGCCCGCCGGUAAUAUCAGUAUCUCAGUUUGACCCCGACGAUACUUCUGAGUGUUCUUAGCGAACAGUUAAAACUUUUAACAACGGAUCUCUUGGCUCUA